rnacentral:rRNA from 1 species
GUAGGUGGCAAGCGUUGUCCGGAAUUAUUGGGCGUAAAGCGCGCAGGCGGUCCUUUAAGUCUGAUGUGAAAGCCCACGGCUCAACCGUGGAGGGUCAUUGGAAACUGGGGGACUUGAGUACAGAAGAGGAAAGCGGAAUUCCAAGUGUAGCGGUGAAAUGCGUAGAGAUUUGGAGGAACACCAGUGGCGAAGGCGGCUUUCUGGUCUGUAACUGACGCUGAGGCGCGAAAGCGUGGGGAGCAAACAGGAUUAGAUACCCUGGUAGUCCACGCCGUAAACGAUGAGUGCUAAGUGUUAGGGGGUUUCCCGCCCCCUUAGUGCUGCAGCUAACGCAUUAAGCACUCCGCCCGGGGGUAGUACGGCCGCAAGGCUG